UCUAGAAACAUCCUUGCAAGUGUGUUGAGGCAAGUUGGAGCUAAAAUCUGCAGGACACCGGCCCUCCAAGGCCAAGUUUUGACACCCCUGGAUUACACUGUAAAAACCACCUAAAAUUCUUUAGUUGUAUCAAAUGAACUUUUCUUGUCUCCUCAACUGAGCAUCAGUCAAACGGAUUAAAACUAAUUUUAAUCAGUGAAUCAGGUUUCAACUAAAUAAGUUAAAAGUAAUUAAAAAAAAUUUAUGACUUUUUGUCAUCGAUUUCUUUACAGCUUAGGAUUAGAAAGGUAAGACAUCAUACUUUAGAACUACUAACAAACAGUUCAUAUUUAAAUACACUGUUAGCAAAUUUCCUGUAGAAUCUACAGCAGCUGUACUGUAAAUCAUUUACAGCAAAAACACUGUAUUUACUGUACAUAUACAGCACCAUUUCUCGUGCUCUAUCCUACAGUAUUGUAAAUCUUUACAGUAAAAUAUACAGUAAUUUUCACAAUGCAACUUUAAAAUACAGUACCAUACUGCAUACUGUAACUGUUCUACAGUAAAACACAGUUCAUAUUGCAGUUAAAUACUGUGUAAUAUACAAAAAUCGUUAAUAAUUAGCCAGUGUUUAAUACUUUAAUACUUGAGUUAGUGUUACCAAACAGUCUUCGAAUAAAAUUUAAGAUAUUUUCAGUAGUAGACAUGUCCGAAAUACUAUCUUGCAGUGCACUAUGUAUUCUGUUUAUUGGCGUACUAUGCUGUUAGUGACGUAGCAUGCUAACUUCAAACUCUCUUAGAAUCUAUACCAGGUCAGGUCAAGAUUUAACGUUAGUCUGUGGUUAACCAGCCCUGGUUAAGCAAGCUUAGCAACAAAAUCUGAAGAACACACACUAGAUUAAGCAUAACAAUAGUUGUUUGCUAAUAUUUGCUCAGGAGUAGGUUUAUCUGUAAGGAUUGCAAGCUUUUGUAAAUGGAAAAACAAGCCAAGAAACUGCGGUUAGCCUACUUAAUUAAUGUGGGUAAUACUAUAAUACCAAUGUGGAUAAUAAAAAAUUGUCAGUAGUAGACAUGUCUGAAAUACUUUCUUGCAGUGCACUAUGUAUUCUGUUUAUUGGCGUCCCACACUGUUAGCGGCGUAGCAUGCUAACUUCAAACUCUCUUAGAAUCCAUACCAGGCCAGGGCAAGAUUUGGCGUUAGUCAGUCUCUGUGGUUAACCAGCCCUGGUUAAGCUAGCUUAGCUACGCGCUCGAAACAAGAUCUGAAACACCCACACUAAAUUGACCAUAACAAUAAUGUUUGUUUGCUAAUAUUCGCUCAGGAGUAUUUUUUUUCUGUGAGGAUUGCAAGCUAUUUUAAAUUCAAAGAAGUCAAGAAACAAAUGCUACAGUAAUUAAUUUAUGUGGAUAAUACGUAAAUAAAAACAAUUUAAAAUUAUCCUUAAUUAGUUAUUUUUUUAUGUUUAUUAGUAAAAAUAUGUCAAAAUGAGCAACUCUACUGUAUGUAGGGAGUUAAAAUAUAAAAGGACACUACACUUUUUAUUUGAAGAUAUCUUCAGUAGUAAACAUGUCUGAAAUAUUUUCUUGCAGUGCACUAUGUAUUCUGUUUACUGGUGUAUCAUGCUGUAACUUCAAACUCUCUUGGAAUCGAUAACAGGUCAGGUCAAUCUCUGUGGUUAACCAGCCCUGGUUAAGCAGGCUUAGCAACAAGAUCUGAAGAACCCACACUAAAUUAACCAUAACAAUAUUGGUUGUUUGCUUGCGUGCGCCGCAUUACAACCACGACUUGGCCCGUAUACAGAUUUGCUUAAUACGAGUCUAACAUUUCCCCCUCGCCCAUCUGCGUCUGUGUACACAGAGAAAACCUGCCACAGCGAAUCCUCCGCGCCGAGCGCUAGAUUGCAGGGAGCAAGGGACAGGAAAAGAGAUAAACACACAAUAAGGGAUAAAGGGAUGGAGAAAGUGCUGGAGAGAGAGAGAGCGAGAGUGUGGGUUAGGGGAAAAAAAAAGCACCCCGGCGAGAGCUGCGAGCAUGAUGGAGAGAGAAAGAGAGAAGAGCUGGAAGAUUGCAUGAGAGAGAGAGAGAGAAAGAGAGAGAGACCCUGUAGGCUCAUAGCUUUAUUAUUAUUGUAUGCGGACACUGAUUUAUUUGGCGGCUGCAGGCACCCGUACUGAAACUCAUUUCACUUGUACUGAUGUUGAUUCUCUCUCUCUCUUUUCAUUGUGAGCCCACUGGACUGUGAGCCACUGUUUGCCACCCUACAAUGCAUCAUCGGUUGCACGAAAAUAAUCACCACCGCUAAUGUUUUUCUAAUGAAGAUGCCCAAAAUAG